rnacentral:rRNA from 1 species
GAGACAGCAGUAGCCGCGGGAAUACGGAGGGUGCAAGCGUUAAUCGGAAUUACUGGGCGUAAAGCGCACGCAGGCGGUCUGACAAGUCAGAUGUGAAAUCCCCGGGCUUAACCUGGGAACUGCAUUUGAAACUGUCAGGCUGGAGUCUUGUAGAGGGGGGUAGAAUUCCAGGUGUAGCGGUGAAAUGCGUAGAGAUCUGGAGGAAUACCGGUGGCGAAGGCGGCCCCCUGGACAAAGACUGACGCUCAGGUGCGAAAGCGUGGGGAGCAAACAGGAUUAGAUACCCCUGUAGUCCCUGUCUCUUAUAC